AUCUAUAUAUAUAUAUAUCUAUCUAUCUAUAUAUAUAUAUAUAUACACCUUUUUGCAAGGAGUUCCUAGAAUAUGUAGCUGCUUAACAAAAUAUUGACCCAGACUAUUUGAUGUAUUCAACUUUUAAGUCACAUAUGAAAAUAGAUUUGCACCACCCUUCUAAAGCACAGUGGGACAUGGGUGGCACUGUGGGUUAAACCACAGAGCCUAGGACUUGCCGAUCAGAAGGCCGGCAGUUCAAAUCCCUGCGACGGGGUGAGCUCCCGUUUCUCGGUCCCAGCUUCUGCCAACCUAGCAGUUCGAAAGCACGUCAAAGUGCAAGUAGAUAGUUACCACUCCAGUGGGAAGGUAAACAGUGUUUCCGUGCGCUGCUCUGGUUCACCAGAAGUGGCUUAGUCAUGCUGGCCAGAUGACCCGGAAGCUGUACGCCGGCUCCCUCGGCCAAUAAAGCGAGAUGAGCGCCGCAACCCCAGAGUCGUCCGGGGCCGGACCUAAUGGUGGUCUAAAGCACAGUAAUGAAACUGCUUGGUGGGCCUCCCUAAGGAGGGAAUUCUGCAGGUGCAGCUCAAUAGCUGAGAAGGCCCUACUCUCUGCUUCCACAGAACAAACUGCCCUGGGAGUGCGCAGAGCUCUUGUGUGGGCUGAUAAGGCAGAAGAAUAAAUAAUUUUGUAAGCCACUUCUGCUUAUUGGCUCCCCUUCUGCCGAGCAGCUUAAGCAGUGUCUCAGUUUCAGGUACCAAACUAUAUCCUCCCAACCCCACUCCCCCAGGAAGAGACAGAGGAAUAUGUUUUUAUGCACCUUUUUGCAAGAGUUUGAGGCUCAGCAGCUCGGGACAUCCCCACCCACCUUUGUUUGGGCUAACCAUGGUUUGAGCUUGCAAUGGGAAAACCAUAGCACAGAGUGGCUUGCCUGCUUUAGUGUUCUUGGGCAUAUACGCUUCUGUCUUCAUGGUGCAAAUGGUCUCUGGAGUGGAGCAGUGGCCAAACCUGGAGUUUGUUAAUUCAGAUGUUGUUCCAAUCUAAGAUGCUUCAAACCUGCUUCAAACCAUGGUUUGUCAGUUUAGGCAGAAUGCCCAAACCAUUAUUAAGCACCCAUAACUGUGGUUUGGCAUGAACUAAGCUAACGAGUUUGCCCAGAUGGAAUUAUCUGCAAGGCUGAUGCUGUACAUAAGCUUUUUAUUUUUUAUUUUUUUUAAAGAGAGUCAUCUCUGCAUUCUACAUCAUUGGCUAGAAAAGUUGAUGGGUAAAACUUACAAUGAUAAACUCUGUCUUUUUUCUGUCUUAAUUUUCAUGUAAAAUCCCAACUGCAUAUUAGAAAUGGUUUCUUUACAUACAGGUCCUGAACGUUUCACAUUGUAGAGUUUUUGCUCUAGGCUGCACUACAACAUCAUUUAUAAGGUUGUAUUCGGGGGGGGGACUCAUUGAAAUCAAACUGUUAUGUUCAAUGUUAGCUGUACUCUGAGUAGACCCAUUGAAAUGAAUGAACAUAGCUAGCUUAGGCCUAUUGAUUGAAUUUGAUUGCAUCUGAACCAAGUUAGUCAAGAUUACUCUGAUGCUUUCCCCCCUGUUCUUGCACAUUGUUUUCAGUUCACGUUGGGUUUCACAGGUUUGAGCAUGGUUACAGGAAGUGGACUGGCAUAUAUGCAUGUCCGAUGUGGUAGGAAAAAAGAGUUGAGAAGUGCAAGUGUGUCGAUUGCAUGCUCUUGCACAAUGUGCAUAGAUAUAAGUGUGGUAACUCAGUUAACACUUUGUGAUACAGAAUGAAAGUGAAGUAGAUUCCUUAAAAGCAUGGUGGAUAUUCUGUAUGACCGCCCAGGUUCUCUGAACAGGAUUCAAAAUUGCCUGAACGGCAAUAUGCCAUACAAAUGCCGCCAUAUUUUCCAAAUUUAGGAGGCUGUACGAUUGUAUUUCAGGGGCCCAGUCCAGCCAAAGUUAAGCACUUUUUAAGGUCCUAAUUUUUAAUGGAGAGAAUUAAGAACCCGUUUCAUGUUGUGCCCUACGGAUUUCAUUGGAAAAGUGCUUAACUUAUGAUUGGAUCUUGUCCAAAAGGUGCCUUUCUCAAAGCUCAGGAAUACUCUAUUUACACACAAAGCAAGGCACUGCUGUCAUGUUCUUUCCUUUUAUAAAAGUAUCUGGAACAUUUGUUUUUUACCCGUUGCCUUCAUUUGCUGAGGUUCACCAAAAUUAUCUCAACUUUUCAGGAUACCUUGCGAUAGCUAUUAAAACUUCUUUCCUUGCAGUGACUUCUCUGUAGCUUGGUACAAACUUCUUUUUUUAAGGCUCAAAUCGGAAGGUCUGGAGUUUUAGUAACAUGAGAAUUUCUCGUAAAGGCACGCAACCUAAAUCCCCCUUAUUUAGAGGUUAUUGUUUCUUCACCCACCCUUCCUUAGUGAGUGUCUCAAAGGUGCAGUGAAAAUAUUAAAACAUAUGCUGGCUUCUGUGUUGAGCAUGUGGUUCCCCCAGGUGGAAAGCUUGUAUUUUUGCCUUGCACCUACGUUUUUUGGAUGUUUCUCCCUAUUAAUCCAUUCUAAUUUGUUGAGGUUUGUGUUUUUUAAAAAGGGGCUUGUAAUGGAAAGAAUGUGUAAAAUGAUAUCAAAGGCGGGCAAAAAUCUUCCAAGGCGGAAUGGACUUGCAACGUCCGUGCUGUUGCGAUCCUCCCUGUGUGGGUUUUUCUUAGCUUCCUUUCUCCCACGAGGCUUCUAAACUGAAAAGUUAAUUUUUCACAGUUAAAUGGCCAGUGUUUGCCUUUAAAAUGCAGACGUUCAGCUGAGCUAGUUGACAGUUGUUUCUGCAGAAAUGAGUUACUCAUGAAAUACCUCUUCUGGUGUAAGCAAAGGACUUUAGGACUUGCAACCGUAGCAUCUGUCCCCGCUUUGAGCACGGUGGUGAUCUUUAACUCCAAGGUUGUGGGCUGUUUUGUGUAUGUGUUGAUUUGCAAUAAAACUUAGCUUCCUCUGAUGGAGCAGGGUCAACGACCGUAGCAAGGUAGCCAUCCUUUAAAGUUCCCCGCAACUAAGGAUGCCAGAGAAUUCAGUCAGAAAUUGUUGGGUGUGGACGUUGCCACAUUUUCAUCCAAGGUCAGGAACAGAAAUCACACAAGCAGAAAAGAGCGGUACUUGCUUUUCACUCCAAAAAAUGCUAUGUUAUUUUCUGUCGUCGUUUUUGAUACUUCCUUUCCAUUUAAAUGCAUUGAAAUUAAUUACAUAAUUAUAUUAUUUUCAGCUGUAGUGGAUAGCGAGAUAGACAUAGGUUUUUGAUGAAGCUGAACUGCAGUGGAACAGAAACCGUGCUGAUUGUGAUUGUUUAUUAUCCUUUAUUAAAUUUCUGUACCGCCCUUUAGCCGAAGAUCAUGGGGUGGUUUACAAUAUAAAGUGAAUAUAAAGCACGGAAAUCGCUGCCUCCUUACAUCCCUGCCUAAGAUUCUUGGUUGUCUUUUCCGCAAAUUGCAAUAAAGCUCUUGUUGAUACAAAACAUACAGUGGAGGGAUGCUUCUGUCCCCAAAUCUCCCAUUCUUGUCUAGGCUUCUCCCCCCCCCCCUUUUUUUUACACUAUCUGAGAAGGCAGCUGUUAGAAUUUUUCUGGCCUUUGCUUUGUUCAUCUGCAGGAAUGCUUGCUUCUUCCUGAAGUGCGAAAUCAUUCUUUUUGUGCAUUUAGUCCCUAACUUGUAGCUGUGAACUGUUUCAUGUUUAGUGCAGCCUUGCAAAUUAGCCCACAGAAGUUCCUAGCAAGCCUGCAACAUGUUCCAAAGCAUAGCUGCCAGGGUUUUCAUGGGGGCUUUGUGAUCUGAUCAUAUAACUUUGAUUUUGUAUCAUCUUCCUUCGUUACCUGUUUUGUUUCUUGGCUCAAUUCAAAGUGCUGGAAGGAAGGUGGAGACUCUCGGAGGUUUUAUAGCAGAGGUUGGAUGACCACCUGUCAUGGAUGCGUUAAUUGAGAUUCCAGCAUUGCAGGGGGGUUGGCUAGAUGACCCAGGGGGUCCCUUCCAACUCUAUGCUUCUUUAAAUUCCUCUAUUGCCUAGGAUCAGAUACCUUAAGAGCUGUUUUCUGCUAUAUGUACCUACCAGAACCUUAAGUCUGUUUUCAGUGGUACUGAUCUGUGUCCCUUUCCUAUUAGGAAAACUUGAGAAAAUGGGUUUUCUAGCCCUGUUGACUGUGUUUGGACAAUCAUAGAUUAGCUUAAUAACCGGAGACAUGACCGAGCCUUGCACACAGCCACUUUGUCCCUCUUUGUCCCCUUUGUGUGUGUAAGUGAAGAAGCUAGCAAGCCUCAGUAAAUAAACUCUGUUUUCCCAUUAUGUUCAGACCAGGAAACUAUGGUUAACAGCUUCCAAAUGAACCCACCUGUGAAGCCAUGUUUUAAAGUUGGCUUAAUAUCCUGGUGUGUUUGAAUGCCACUGACCACAGUUUCCCAGUCCAGACCCAAGUGAAUGGUCAUUAGCAAUAGAGGCUAAACAUCAAUGCUGCAUAGUGGUUAGUGUGUUGGAUGAGGACUAGGAAGGCCUUGGUUUAAACCCCCACUUGGCCAUGAAACUCACUGAGUGACCUUGGGACCAGUUGAUGUUUCUCACCCUUAAAGGGUUGUUGAGAGGAUAAAAUGGAGGAGGCAGGGUGAGAGGAAGCUCCUUGGAGGAGAGGCAGGAUAUAAAUUUAAGCAGCUGUGUUCCUGGGUUCAGUCUGCAUGGCUUAGGAAAUAGGAGGCCAAAGCAAAGUGUCAAAAAGAUCCCUGCAUUGUUAGGGGUUCCUGAUUACCUCUUUGCUCCACCUUGGGCCAAGUGACUAACAUCAAUGAAUCUUCGUCUUUGGUGUGCACAGGUGUGUAGAGUUCAGAAUUUGACUGAGAGUGAAUUGGUUUAGUGAAGAAGAGCAAGCAGCAUAAAGGCAAGGGAAUUUGCCUUUUUUGAAAGCGUCAGAUUACUGAUUCAGAAUAGCAACUGUGAAUCACUAACCUAUGCUAUCCUUGAUCAUUUGGAACGAUGAAGUAGCCUCAUAUUGAGUCAUAUUGAGUCAUGUCCAUGUAGCCCAAUCCGUCUAACUGGAGAUGCCAGGAAUUGACCUUGGGACCAUGUACUGAGCUAUGAGCCUCUCCAAGAGGUCUUGUAAGCUAGCUCUCUUAACAGCUGCAGAAAUACAUUUUGAGGCUUUGGUUGGCCCAUUGCAGAUUUAACGGUGACGAAACGGUUAAGCGAUUGGUAGUGGGAGCUUUGCAGCUGUUCAUCCUGUGCCAUCAGCAUCUGGAUUCCCCUGUGCCAGUGCAAAGCGAUUCAAAGUGGGAAAGAUGCAGGUUAUAAUGACUUGAAAGCCCUUGUGGAUCUCUUUUCCUUAAGGUAACCUUAGCCCGGGUCUCCACAGUUGCUUGCUUGCAGCAGGUCACAUCAUUUGUAAUCCUAAACUACUUUUGCUGUCUGAGACGACUUAUAACGGUGCGCUUCAAUAAACUCUGGUUCUCAUGACUUAUUGGCAGAUGGGUGGGGAAUACCUACAGUAUUAGCUUUCACCUGCAGUUACUUGCAUGAUGCAGAAAGAGAGA